AAGGUGGUAGUGUAGUGGUUAGCACUUCUAUCUUUGUAUCUGAAGGUUGUAGGUUUGAUUCCUACCUCCUCUC
rnacentral:tRNA from 1 species